rnacentral:rRNA from 1 species
UACGUAGGGGGCUAGCGUUGUCCGGAAUCAUUGGGCGUAAAGCGCGUGUAGGCGGUCCGGUAAGUCCGCUGUGAAAGUCGGGGGCUCAACCCUCGGAUGCCGGUGGAUACUGUCGGGCUUGAGUACGGAAGAGGCGAGUGGAAUUCCUGGUGUAGCGGUGAAAUGCGCAGAUAUCGGGAGGAACACCAGUGGCGAAGGCGGCUCGCUGGGCCAUUCCUGACGCUGAGACGCGAAAGCUAGGGGAGCGAACAGG